AUGAUCAGCCACACUGGAACUGAGACACGGUCCAGACUCCUACGGGAGGCAGCAGUGGGGAAUAUUGGAAAUGGGCGCAAGCCUGAUCCAGCUAUGCCGCGUGAGUGAGGAAGGCCUUAGGGUUGUAAAACUCUUUCAGUAGGGAAGAUAAUGACGGUACCUACAGAAGAAGUCCCGGCAAACUCCGUGCCAGCAGCCGCGGUAAUACGGAGGGGGCAAGCGUUGUUCGGAAUUAUUGGGCGUAAAGGGCAUGUAGGCGGUUCGGUAAGUUAAAGGUGAAAUGCCAGGGCUUAACCCUGGAGCUGCUUUUAAUACUGCCAGACUAGAGUCCGGGAGAGGAUAGCGGAAUUCCUAGUGUAGAGGUGAAAUUCGUAGAUAUUAGGAGGAAC
rnacentral:rRNA from 1 species